rnacentral:lncRNA from 1 species
CUAUGAUGUAAGGCAAGUGUCUCCAUCCCGUGGGGCUGGGUUUCCUCUCUUGUGAAGAAAAAGCUGGAUCAGAUUAAGCAGACAAAAAAAGCAAAUAAGGCUAUUGAAAAUCUACGUCCCAUAGUGUGAUGGAGACCAUGUGUGUGCAGAAGCAUGCGUACCUC